CGCAGAAGUGCCUGACUGAAGUCUGGAAACGCUGUAAAAGCAGACCAGAGUUGAAAUCAUCUCAGUUUUGUGCUUGCCUCAGGCAUAGUUCAGAGUCCCCACUUCUUCACCUAUAAACAGAAAGUAGUGUCACCUGACUUCCAGAUGCUCAUUCAGCAAGAAGACCCGAAGGAGGACAUGACACGUGGCUAGUAAUCACUGAAUGCUUCUUAAGUUCCCUUCCUCCUCAGCCCUUAGCCUGGAUUUUUAAUUUUAACUUUAAUCUCAUAUAUAUGUAGCCUUGGCUGCCCUGGAACUUGCUCUGUAGACCAGGCUGGCCUUGAACUCAGAGAUCUGCAGAUCUGCCUGCCUUGGCCUUCCGAGUGCUGGGAUUAAAGUUAUGUGCCCCACUGCCUGGCAGUUUUUUAUAUAUUUAAGCUUUAAGCCUCUGAGCCAAUAGCCACACUUUCAGACCUCAGUGUUCCUGACUGUAAAAUGGGAAAUAGAAGUAGUAUUGCCUAGGCUGAAUGGCGACUGUGCUUGGGCAAUACAGCAUAUAGAACAAUGCAGGGCGGAUGGUCUUGAAUCUGCUGGAAGGUCUGCAGCAGGUCAGCGCUGUCUGUCGAGAAGGAUCUUGCUUCUGCCCAGUCAGUUUACAGGAGUCCACCUGUAGAGCUUCAGGAGCAGCUUCCAAGCUUCUCACAGGGGCAGGGCAACUCUGAAGUCUCCAGUGAGGGGGUGCCCAGCUCCAUGACCACCCCAGAUCCCAUCUCCUCAAAGUGCCUGCUCCUUCUCGGUCCCAUAGAAGAGGAGGACGGUGUCCUCACCCAUGCAGACGUCCCUCCGUCCAGGCAUGUCCAGUAGCAGCACUUUGCACGUUGUUGACUCCAAAUGAAUAUUAAACACAGAACCUCACCGAGGCCAGCCCUGCGGGGCAGGCAAUGGGUAAUUUCUGCACAUGGCUUUGAAAAUAAGGGCAUAGAGCUUCCCUCCUCAGUGGCCUGUGGUGUUACCCUUUUCCUGUCUGGGUGUGCAGUCAGCAAAGAGGGAUCCAUGGCCGCUCCUUAGCAGUCGCAGCACACGCUCCUGUUUCUUGCUUUUGUCACCUGACAGUAUAUCUCGGAGACGACUGGGAAUCAGUACAUAAAGAGUGCCUUACUCAGGUGUCUUUUUAUGGUCACAGGCUUCUCAGGGUUACAGAAGUAAUCACAGCUGGUUUGAUUAGCUUCAGAUGUUGCCAUUUACAACAUCUCAGUCCAGAGAGGGCUGGAAACCUCCCCAAGGUCACGCAGCAAGGACUAGAGCUUCUCUCCCUAGCAAGUCCCAACUCCUGCCUCCCUACCACGACCCCCCUACCUCCCCGCCACCCCAGCGCUGCCCAGGUGACCAGAAGGGAGGAAGGGAAGAGGGGGCGUCUCUAAUUGAAAUGCAUUGCGGGCUCAGGACCGGCACCUGGCGGGAUGCUCUGCAGGAGAGCGGCGCGGUGCGGAGGGGGCUGCGGCCUGGCGCCCACGUGGGAGCGAGAGAGACCGGGCUGCUUCCCCGCAAUCCGUUGCCGCGUGCUUCCCGGUAAUGAGCUCCCAGGGCCCGAGGUGAGCUUCCCCCGGCUGCUCACACGGCAGCCGCGUGGCACCAAAGAACACCGGUACUUUUUUUCUUCCCUGCCUGACAGCUCAUUAGAAGAAUUAAUUUACUCCAGCGUUUGCAGUUUAAAGGACAUUAUUUACUGGUUAAUUGUUGUUAUUACAAAAUGUUAAAUAUCAUUAUUUAUUUCCCAAGUCCUGACAGCUUCUCUGACAAGAAUUUAUGGGUGAUUGCCGUGUCACCACUGGUGGGUGUCCUGCACAGGGGCAAUGUGAGGUAUGGGAGUGGCCUUCAGGUCCUGGUGUCUUGUCAGGGAAGACUGCGCAGAGGGCCUGCAUACCAUACUGGCCCAUUGUCCCCUCUGCACCCUAAUUUCUGCCCAAUGAGGAGUGGAGGGUGGAGGAAAUCUGCUAUCAGGACACUGGUGUUUCCCUAAAUCUUCAGUUUUGGGGGUCAGGGUGGCACUUGCCAGAAGACCAGCCGCCAAGAUUUUGUGUCCUUCCAUGUAAAAGGCUGUUUAUUCCCAGGGCUCAGAAUGCUUCCAAACCAUGCAGAAAGGCCCGUGUUUUAGCUCCAACCUAACAACAACAACAACAAAAUGGGCUUGGUGGAUCACAUUUUGGUGGAUCAGGACCUUGGAGGUGGGAGCCAAGGGGGAUCAAGAUCAUCCUCUGGCUAAACAACAGAGUGUGAGGCCAGCCUGGGAUAUAGGAGGAACCUGUCUCAACAAAACAAAACAACAACAAAAACGAUCAAAGGUUAAUUCUCCAAAUGGGAAACCUUUGUUUCUGUCCCAGCUGAGCUGAUCGUGGUCUGAGAACAUGAAGAUCAGAAGAUGCUGGUGUCCGGGAACUGAGGACCUGCUAUCAAUCUGAGUUUGACCUGUUCAGGAGACUUCACAUAAAAGCUAAGAUUUAUGGCUUCUCUUGAAAAAUCAGAGACUCUUGACACACUUGACCCAUGGUCAAUUGGCAGUGACCUUUGGGUCACCGAAGGGCAAAGCCAUUCAAGGAAUGUGCUGGCUCUUUCCAGCGGCCGCCUGCCCCACCUGCACUGUUUCCUGGGCUCUGGGCACAUUUGAGUUUCCAAUCUGACCUUCCGUAAUGACCAUGGAGAGAUGAAGAAACAGAUUUCAAAAGCCACGGCCACAGCCUGGUCCACCCUCUCACCCUACCACACCGCCUCUUUCAAAUCUGUCUGCUUCCACCUCUCCUGGGUCAGCAUGGAGUGGGCUCUGGCAGCCCAGGAGCCAGGAGCAAGAGGCGGCCAGUGAGAAUGACAAAGAUCAUGGCUAUACAAAUGGCAUUCGUGUAUUCAUGCAGUAAAUUGUUCUGGAGGAUCUACGUGGUAUAAAAGGACGCAGGCAUACACUGUUCCAUAAAGGAACCCAGCCUGGGGAAGCUAUGUGUCACUCAGGAACGCGGUUACAAUUCGGGAAGAUGGAGAGGUUUAGGAAGAUGUGACUGGCAGGUGUAUGUGGGGAGGGAAGGUUUCCAGGGGAGAGAAUGAAUACUUCACCCAGCUGGUGGACUGCCCGUGUCCUCACGCAGACGCUCAUGUCUUACUUAAUUCUCUCAACAGAGCUGAUUGAAAAUAGCUGUCAGGAUCCAGGCAUAGCGGUGCAAGCCUCUGCCAUCGCCUGGGAGGUGGAGGCAGGAGAGGCAAGAAUUUCAAGGCUAGCCUUGGCUACAAGACACUCUGUUUCAUAACAACAAACGAACAAGGCCACAAAGAAAACCCAACAGCUAAAAAUAACUGCCAGCAGCCAAGCAGAGUAGUACAAGUCCACAUGCUGAUCUUGAGUUCAAGUCCACCCAGAGCUACAUAAUGAGACCCUAAGUCACUAUAACUGUCAAGUGGGACAUAAAGUAUCUGCUGUCAGUUAAUAAGAUGGUGACUCUACAGGCCCAAGGACCAACCUGCUGUGAGAAUCCCUGUCUCCCCCCUAAUUAGAUGCUAUAGGUCAUGCCAGCCUGGGGACUCUGUGGUCCAACAAGGCUAUCCCAGUAGUAUAGCCGAGAAAGGCAGCCCAUCACCAUCAUCUGUAUCUUACAACCUGUGUACAGGGCAGGGCUGAAUCCUCUCAUUUCACCAAUCAGGGACCAAAGGUGCAGAGGCUCUGGACAGAGCGGGCACUGCUGCCUGAGGCUGAGGCCUAGCACUGAGGAAACUUGGAGCUGAGAUCUUACAGGCUGACUUCAAACAAAGGCCCUUUGGACAAGGGCCUUUGGUCUCAGCCUUUCCUCCCAGGGACCUUGACAGCAGCAGGUAGCCUUGAGGAAUAUACUGGAAAACCAAAGAAGAUGGAAAGUCCUUUGAAAGCGAAUGGAAAUGGGCUCAGGGAAGCCCUUCCCAAGGCUGGGCUGCAAAUUAGCAUAAAGUUAUUUCCAGACCGCAGUCUGGCUUAUUUUAGACCCUUCCUCAUUUCCUCCAGGGCAGAAGAAGCCUCAAUCCCUUGCCUGGUGAGAAAGAGACCGUCACUAUGGGAGUGAAUCGGGAGCAGAUCGGAAACUGUAGCCGCUGCGUAGAUUUUUACACUGUCUCAGAGUCUUAGGGCUUGCUGUUCUUCAUAGGUCUUCUCCAGCAGGUCUCUCAUUUUAUUUUAUUGCCAUAUUAAAUUUUUUU
rnacentral:lncRNA from 1 species